AGACGUAGCAAUACGUUUGUAAAGCGGCGAACGGGUGAGGAAUACAUGGGUAACCUACCCUAGAGUGGGGAAUAACUAGCCGAAAGGUUAGCUAAUACCGCGUACGCUCCUUGGACUUCGGUACAGGGAGGAAAGCGAUACCGUGGGUAUCGCGCUCUUGGGUGGGCUCAUGUCCUAUCAGCUUGUUGGUGAGGUAACGGCUCACCAAGGCUUCGACGGGUAGCUGGUCUGAGAGGACGAUCAGCCACACUGGCACUGCGACACGGGCCAGACUCCUACGGGAGGCAGCAGUAAGGAAUAUUGCGCAAUGGGCGAAAGCCUGACGCAGCGACGCCGCGUGGGGGAUGAAGGUCUUCGGA
rnacentral:rRNA from 1 species